rfam:Populus trichocarpa scaffold_4_contig_167, whole genome shotgun sequence.
UCUAGAACUCAAGAUAUGGGCUGAAUACUGAACAGUGUCUGGGCUGCAGGACAGAUUCAGACUUUUCCAUUGUUGCUACAAUUUGGACUUGAAAAUGACCUUUUAAAUCUUGGACUCCUUAUAAAAGUUUUAGGCCUAUGUCUUAGCUUUCCAUC